CGCUUUCACUCCUACGGGAGGCAGCAGUGGGGAAUAUUGCACAAUGGGGGAAACCCUGAUGCAGCCAUGCCGCGUGUGUGAAGAAGGCCUUCGGGUUGUAAAGCACUUUCAGUAGGGAGGAAGGUAGUGUAGUUAACACCUGCACUAUUUGACGUUACCUACAGAAGAAGCACCGGCUAACUCCGUGCCAGCAGCCGCGGUAAUACGGAGGGUGCGAGCGUUAAUCGGAAUUACUGGGCGUAAAGCGCAUGCAGGCGGCCUGUUAAGUCAGAUGUGAAAGCCCGGGGCUUAACCUCGGAAUUGCAUUUGAAACUGGCAGGCUAGAGUCUUGUAGAGGGGGUAGAAUUUCAGGUGUAGCGGUGAAAUGCGUAGAGAUCUGAAGGAAUACCAGUGGCGAAGGCGGCCCCCUGGACAAAGACUGACGCUCAGAUGCGAAAGCGUGGGGAGCAAACAGGAUUAGAUACCCUGGUAG
rnacentral:rRNA from 1 species